AGCUGGAAGUGGGCACAUGAACUACAU
rnacentral:piRNA from 1 species